UUUAGCAUUCAUUUCAAUAUUUUAAAUGUCUUUUUGCAGCACCGUAGUGGUAAAAACUAUUUAUUUAUUAACAAAGAACUAAGUUACUACUUAUAAACAGGAAAAAGUUAUAUUUGUUAUAUGCAAAGAAGAAGAAAAUAUGGCUAAAGUUCUCAUAUUUAUGUACGCAUUGCUCAUCUUUAUUUUUGUAUUUCUUGUUGAAACAAGCAAAGCAACAAUCAAUCCCUGCAAAUCUGUCGAUGAUUGUCCAUUGGUUAUAGAACAUAUUGCACAUUGUAUUAAUGGUAUUUGUGAAUAUUGCCAUUUGUUUCUGCAAUAAAAAAAAAAAAAAGGGUUAACAAAAAAAGGGUUACAUAAAUAAAUGAUUUUUUCUUAAA